GACGAACGCUGGCGGCGUGCUUAACACAUGCAAGUCGAACGGUAAGGCCCUUCGGGGUACACGAGUGGCGAACGGGUGAGUAACACGUUGGUGAUCUGCCCUGCACUUCGGGAUAAGCCGGGGAAACUGGGUCUAAUACCGGAUAGGACCACUGCCUGCAUGGGUGGGGGGGGAAAGCUCUGGCGGUGUGGGCUGGGCCCGCGGCCUGUCAGCUUGUGGGUGGGGUGAUGGCCUACCAAGGCGACGACGGGUAGCCGGGCGGAGAGGGUGACCGGCCACACUGGGACUGAGAUACGGCCCAGACUCCUACGGGAGGCAGCAGUGGGGAAUAUUGCACAAUGGGCGCAAGCCUGAUGCAGCGACGCCGCGUGAGGGAUGACGGCCUUCGGGUUGUAAACCUCUUUCAGCACCGACGAAGCGCAAGUGACGGUAGGUGCAGAAGAAGGACCGGCCAACUACGUGCCAGCCGCCGCGGUAA
rnacentral:rRNA from 1 species